GUACCACCGCACCCACCAGUCAAUCGCCAGCCAGUUCAAGUAUGCCCUGGUGUGGGGCACCAGCACCAAGUACAGUCCGCAGCGGGUGGGCCUGACCCACACCAUGGAGCAUGAGGACGUCAUCCAGAUCGUGAAGAAGUAAUGGCGCCUGCCAGGCCUCCAGCCCACCUGCCUCAUCUCCCUGGGGACGUCGGUCCUACUGGGACACACAAACGCCCAAACAGAGAAAUACAAAUACACACACCCCAGGAAGCGGUCUCUCAAGUCUCUGCUAUUUCCAGAAGUUUCUUCAAUAGGCAGAUGAAGAGCGCGUUGGGGCAGAGGGGUUCGGCUGGAAGCAUUUCCCACAAGACUGAGGCCUCUCGUGGGGUUUUGAGUUUGGAGUGUUGGGCCUACAUCUGUGCCCCCGGCCCCUGCGCUGAGGGAGCAAGCUGCCCACCUGCCGGCCAGCUGGGGCCUAAAGCAGAUGGCAUGCUCAGUGCCAGGCGGGAAGCUGGGCCUGCCUGGGUCCCUGGAGGCUGUGGCUGCUGUUACAGCACCUCCCUCCCUCAGCUCCUGCCGGCUUCUCUGACACUUGGGGUGGGGGCCCUUCCAGGAAGAAACCCCCUUGGGUCCUCCACUCAGGACUGUCCAGGAUUGGAAGCAGAGGUUAGUGGCUUCAAAGGCCCAGCUGACACCCUCCACAGCCUAAGGGGUGUCCUAAAGUGACUCCCCCUCUCUGACCCUCCCAGGGCAGCCCCUGCCCAGCACAAAACCCGCAGACCCUGGCUCUGCACGCCUGGGCCGGGGACUUCUGAGUUUAGAAUCUGUUUUCUAAGUCCCCAGUUCUGGCUCUCCUUUCUGAAAUGAAGGAUUGAAAACGGUU